rnacentral:sRNA from 1 species
UGAGUGCCAUGGUGGGCAAGCUGGAAAUGUCCAGUGCACCACUUCCACAAGACUUGACUGAAGGUGUCCAGGACGACGAAUGGGACGAUUGAAAAGUUACAAGUGUUCCUGAAGUCUAAACAACAAUCAAGAUGGCUGCUCAAAGUGGAUAUCAUUGUAUCAGCAUGUAAUAUUUUCAUAUGCCAACUCUUGAGAUUUGUUCUUUAUGUUAAUAGUCUUUGUUGAUGUUCCUGAUUUGUUCUUUGUUAAUGGCCUCUGUUGAUGUUUUCAUGUAUAGGUUGCAAUAUUACACAUGUUUAAGUAUUUAUAAUUUUUACAUAUUGAAAACAUCAUUACAUGAAGUGACCUUUUCUAUCAGCCAGGGGCAUAACUGGAGUGAGGGUAGGUGGAGAUUUUGACUUCUGCUGUGCCAAAAUUUUUAUUUUCAAUUUUUCUAAAAAGCUUUAUUCAUAAUAUUUUAGCCACUACUGUACUCUUUUUUUCCAAGCAUUAUAAAUUGGCUGUGCCAGAGAAGGCAGUCAAGCCAUUAUUUAGUUUGAUGCCUUUAUUUAAUCUUGACAUAAUAUUUUUAUAUAUUUAGAAAACAAUUCUGUUGUGUGCCUUCUUUUUGUUUUUUAACUUCCAGCAAGUUUUUAUUUGCUUCUUAGCUUGAGAUUAAUUUCAAAUGCAUUGAGAGAUUGCUGCAGAAAUGAAUGUACUCUUAGUGUUUUAGCAAUAGUAGCAUUUCCUUUGGGAAAAUUAUUUCUUACACUGCUCAUACCAGGUGGCUUCCUGGGCGUGUGGUAUGCGCCCUGGACUGUUGUUAGGACUUGUCCAUUGUCCCGGGUUCAAACCUUGCCCGCUGCCACCCCCCCUCGUCCGGUGUGAGGUUUGGACUAGGAAGUAAAUUAUCUUCAACUCUGAAGGAACAUCCGAAACAUGUAAAACAUUUUACAAACAAACAUACCGCUAGACUGAAUUGAAUAUUGUAUGAAACAGAUUGGGACAUGUUUGUAAACAACUGCCCAGACAUUGAUGAACUUACCACAA